rnacentral:rRNA from 1 species
GACGAACGCUGGCGGCGUGCCUAAUACAUGCAAGUAGAACGCACAGUUUAUACCGUAGCUUGCUACACCAUAGACUGUGAGUUGCGAACGGGUGAGUAACGCGUAGGUAACCUGCCUGGUAGCGGGGGAUAACUAUUGGAAACGAUAGCUAAUACCGCAUAAUAUUGAUUAUUGCAUGAUAAUUAAUUGAAAGGUGCAAUUGCACCACUACCAGAUGGACCUGCGUUGUAUUAGCUAGUAGGUGAGGUAACGGCUCACCUAGGCGACGAUACAUAGCCGACCUGGGAGGGUGAUCGGCCACACUGGGACUGAGACACGGCCCAGACUCCUACGGGAGGCAGCAGUAGGGAAUCUUCGGCAAUGGACGAAAGGCUGAACGGGCAACGCCGCGGGAGGGAAGAAGGGUUUCGGAUCGUAAAGCUCUGUUGUAAGAGAAGAACGGGUGUGAGAGUGGAAAGUUCACACUGUGACGGUAUCUUACCAGAAAGGGACGGCUAACUACGUG